UCCUUUUCCAGUGAAAACCAAUAUGUAUUGGGUCUGAAUGGAAGAACAGAGGAGUUACGGAUAUAAAGCAGAGCAGGACAAACACAAUUGUAUC
rnacentral:sRNA from 1 species